rnacentral:rRNA from 1 species
CAAUAGCGUAUAUUAAAGUUGUUGCGGUUAAAAAGCUCGUAGUUGGAUUUCUGCCGAGGACGACCGGUCCGCCCUCUGGGUGUGUAUCUGGUUUGGCCUGGGCAUCUUCUUGGAGAACGUAGCUGCACUUGACUGUGUGGUGCGGUGUCCAGGACUUUUACUUUGAGGAAAUUAGAGUGUUUCAAGCAGGCACACGCCUUGAAUACAUUAGCAUGGAAUAACACGAUAGGACUCUGGCUUAUCUUGUUGGUCUGUGAGACCAGAGUAAUGAUUAAGAGGGACAGUCGGGGACAUUCGUAUUUCAUUGUCAGAGGUGAAAUUCUUGGAUUUAUGAAAGACGAACUUCUGCGAAAGCAUUUGUCAAGGAUGUUUUCAUUAA